UACCUGGUGGCGUUUCUCUCCUCAACCUCUCUCGGCUUCCGACCUCUGCAGCACCCAUUGGCCAAUAGGCUGUCUGUCCGCGGAGUAUUGUCCAAUGAAUGGGCGCGCUGGGUCAGAGGCGGUGGCGAGGGCGGAGCGACGGCGCGAGCAGGGCGGAGAGGGAGAAGGAGGGGUGACGCAGCGGCGCGGUGACGCAGCGUGGCGGCGGCGACGACGGCAGCAGCGGCGGCGACGGCGUCGGUCGGUGUGAGGAGAGAGGGAGGGAAGGCGGAGAGAGCGAGGCGAGUGGGGGCGGCGGUGGCGCGGGCCGGAGGCGAUUCACUCAGCCCCUGCUUGAACAUAGCAUGGAAUGAGGAGCGCCUGGCCUGAUGAGACUUCUGAUUGUUACUUUGGUUGAGUGGAAACGUGCUUCCUUUUGAUCUCCAGUCACUGGGCUCUUAUCUGCCCUGUGGAACCAAGAGAAUCAGUUGGCUCCUAUUUGUGUGACAGGUCUUCAGGAGCUCACAGAAACCUCCCUGAUGUGAACAGGCCUCUGCCCCCGCUGCCCCUCCCGGGAUUUUCUAAGCACCCUGACCCACACUCACCCCCCUCUCUGGGGAGAGACAACAGGAUUCUGGAGCCGAGACCAUGUGACAGCAUUGCCCUUCCCCACCAUUCCCCCACCCCCGGCCUCUGCCGGUGCCAAGCCCAGGCCCUGGCCACGGCACCAUGAUGUUCCGAGACCAGGUUGGCAUCCUUGCUGGCUGGUUCAAGGGCUGGAAUGAGUGUGAGCAGACGGUGGCCUUGCUGUCACUGUUGAAGCGAGUCACCCGGACCCAGGCCCGAUUUCUGCAGCUUUGCCUGGAGCACUCCUUGGCAGACUGUAACGAUAUCCACCUUCUGGAGUCAGAGGCCAACAGUGCUGCCAUCAUUAACCAAUGGCAGCAAGAGUCCAAAGAGAAGGUCGUCUCCCUCUUGUUGUCCCAUCUACCCCUGCUCCAGCCUGGCAACACAGAGGCCAAGUCUGAGUAUAUGAAGCUGCUGCAGAAGGUGCUGGCCUACUCUAUAGAGAACAACGCCUUCAUUGAGGAGAGUCGGCAAUUGCUCUCCUAUGCCCUCAUUCACCCGGCCACCACAUUGGAGGACCGAAACUCACUAGCCCUCUGGCUCAGCCACUUAGAGGAACGGCUGGCUGGUGGCUUCCGGACCCGAGCUGAGACUGCCUACCACUCCCGCCAGGGCUCAGAUGAAUGGGGUGGCCCUGGGGAGGCUGGCCCUGGGGAGCUAGGGCCAGGCUGGCAGGACAAGCCACCACGAGAAAAUGGACAUGUGCCCUUUCACCCUUCUGGUGCAGUGCCAUCCACCAUCAACAGUAUUGGGAGCAAUGCUAAUGCAGGCCUCCCCUGCCCAAUGCACCCAAGCCCGCUGAAGCGUUCCAUGUCGCUCAUCCCCACGAGCCCGCAGGGCCCUGGUGAAUGGCUGAACCCAGAGGAAAUGGGGGCAAGAGCAGCCUUUGCCCCACCCGACCACGCGCCCCUCUCGCCCCAGAGCAGUGUGGCUUCCUCAGGCAGUGAGCAGACGGAGGAGCAGGGCUCCAGCCGGAACACUUUCCAGGAGGAUGGCAGUGGCAUGAAAGAUGUGCCAUUAUGGCUUAAGAGUCUUCGCUUACACAAAUACGCAGCCCUCUUCUCCCAGAUGAGCUAUGAGGAGAUGAUGACCCUGACUGAACAGCAUCUGGAAUCUCAGAACGUGACCAAAGGUGCCCGUCACAAGAUCGCCCUGAGCAUCCAGAAGCUUCGUGAGAGGCAGAGUGUCCUCAAGUCCCUGGAGAAGGAUGUGCUGGAAGGUGGGAACCUGAGGAAUGCUUUACAGGAGCUCCAGCAGAUCAUUGUCACACCCAUUAAGGCCUACAGCAUCCUUCAGGCAGCUGUGGUGGCUGCAGCCAAGGAGGGGGGCAGGGGGGAGCCGCCGCUGAGCGCUGAGCCCCCCCCAGCUCGCCCAGGCCCUGAGAAGGCCCCUGAGGCCAAGGAUGCCCCAGCAGAAAGCUAUCCCCCCCAGCCGGCCCCUGCCCCCAGUGAUGGUAGUGAGCCAGCCACAGCCCCUGUCGCCGAUGGAGACCUCCCUAGCCAGUUUACCCGUGUGAUGGGCAAAGUGUGCACCCAGCUGCUGGUGUCCCGGCCAGAUGAGGAAAACAUUACCAGUUACCUCCAGCUCAUCGAAAAGUGCCUGACACAUGAGGCUUUCACCGAGACACAGAAGAAGCGCUUGCUGUCCUGGAAGCAGCAAGUCCUGAAGCUGCUCCGAACGUUUCCCCGAAAAGCUGCCCUAGAAAUGCAGAGCUAUCGGCAGCAGCAGAAGGGCUGGGCUUUUGGCUCCAACUCUCUCCCCAUAGCUGGUUCUGUGGGGAUGGGAGUGACCCGGCGGGCCCAGAGGCAAUUCCAGAUGCCCCCUCGGGCCCUACCACCUAGCCGAAUGGGCAUCCUGAGCCCUGCGGGCAUUGGAGGCGUUUCACCUCGACAUGCCCUCACCAGCCCUAGUCUUGGGGGGCAAGGACGACAGAAUCUGUGGUUCGCCAACCCUGGAGGCAGUAACAGCAUGCCCAGCCAGAGCCGGAGCUCCGUGCAGCGCACUCACUCCCUCCCUGUGCAUUCCUCCCCCCAGGCUCUCCUCAUGUUCCCGCCAGGUGAGGCUCCUUCUUCUUGGGUCCUGGCUUUGGCCUGUGGCUUUUUCCUUUUGGUUCCCCCCACCCCCACCCCCAUGUUCUUCAUCUCAUGGUGUUUGGAGCUCUCAUCUCUGGGUUUUCAGUCUGGAUCUGGAUCUUACUCUGUUCCCUUAAUUUUAAAUGGCAGCUACAAUGUAACUUAGGUAAACUGAGGCCUAAAUUCUAUGGUCUCUGAGUUCCCUUUUUGAUCUAGGAUUCUGAAGGAUAGACACGUGAACGAAAGGAAUGUACCAGGAGGAUUGAUUUUAAUCCAAAGCUUUUGGCAAAGUUUCCUAUCAAAAAGGACUUUUCAUUUUCCCAAAAGAUUUUUUAUUAGUGUGUCAUCUGGCAUUGGGGAGGUAGUGGUUGUUUUGCACAAUUGAUUAACUUAGAAAUGGAAAAGAAAAAUAGAAACAGGUAUUUCUCGAAAUUAGAAUCGAUUUUGCAGUCACAACUAAGACUACAGGGAUCAGUACUGGGAGGGUUCUAUUGUUAUUCAAUCAUAUUCAACUCUUUGUGACCACUUGGACUAUAGUGUACUGAUGCUGCCUGGUGCCCUACAAGUCCAGGGGGAUAGAGUUAGGGUUAGGUUUUUCUAGGCAAAGAUCCUGGAGUGGUUUCCAUUUCUUUCUUGAGCUCAAUUUAUAAAUUAAGAAACUGAGGUAAAUAGUAUGAAGUGAUUUACCCAGGGUCACACAGCUAAUGUCUGAGGCCAGAUUUGAACUCAGUUCUUCUUGACUCCAGUCCCAGUGUUCUAUCCAGGGAGCCAUCUAGCUCCCAGAAUAAGUAAAUGAUCUAGAAAGAAUAUGGUCAGGCAUUUUCUUCUAAGCUUGUACGUGUUUCAUGAGUUAAAUGCUGAACCAUUGGUGAUGAAAUACAGGCACACCUCAUAAGCCUAUAUGAGUGGCAAAAAAAGGUAAGUUAACUUUCCUAGUAGGCAAGUUUAACUUCAGGCACUUAACCGUUUGCCUGUUUUUGCUUAAUACCUCUAUACAGUGAUGGACUUUGUUCUACCCACAUUAGAAAUACAUGAUGCAGAAUAUUACAAUGAUUUGGACCUUAGAGAAAAUCUCCCCUCUGCCGCUCUGUGUGUUCUCAGAAGGGGGAUCAGAGAUAGAACCCAAUACCUUUCUGCCUCAUGGGAAAGGGUCAUGCUUGCAUGCU
ensembl:lncRNA